GAUGAACGCUGGCGGCGUGCCUAAUACAUGCAAGUCGAGCGAACAGACGAUGAGCUUGCUCCUCUGACGUUAGCGGCUGACGGGUGAGUAACACGUGGAUAACCUACCUAUAAGACUGGGAUAACUUCGGGAAACCGGAGCUAAUACCGGAUAAUAUAUUGAACCGCAUGGUUCAAUAGUGAAAGACGGUUUUGCUGUCACUUAUAGAUGGAUCCGCGCCGCAUUAGCUAGUUGGUAAGGUAACGGCUUACCAAGGCGACGAUGCGUAGCCGACCUGAGAGGGUGAUCGGCCACACUGGAACUGAGACACGGUCCAGACUCCUACGGGAGGCAGCAGUAGGGAAUCUUCCGCAAUGGGCGAAAGCCUGACGGAGCAACGCCGCGUGAGUGAUGAAGGUCUUCGGAUCGUAAAACUCUGUUAUUAGGGAAGAACAAAUGUGUAAGUAAAUAUGCACGUCUUGACGGUACCUAAUCAGAAAGCAACGGCUAACUACGUG
rnacentral:rRNA from 1 species